UGUGGUUAAGUGUCAAAAUUAAUUGUGUAAAUAUAUAAAAGAAAACUCAACGUGGUGGAAGAUGGGCAACAGGUCUUUGUUUUAGUUUCUGAGGAACAUCAAAGAAAAGGUGCAGGAUAUAUUCUCGGAAUGCAACUAUGCUUGUAAUUAUUGUAUCUAUGAAUAUAAUAUGCAUUCAGAAACAGGGGAAACUGGAUGGAUGGAUCGAGGAUCACAUAAUGUUGCUGGAUAGGUUGAGGGGGUGUGUAUGAUCACCUCCUCCCUACACUUAUGUAUGAUGAUAGUAGAUUAGUUAUGGCAUGAGUAGUUAGUUUAUAUUUAAGUUAUUAUUAUUAAGUUUUAUUUUAAUUAUGAUGGUAGUUAGAUAUGUGCAUGUUAGUUUUUAAGUAUGAAUUUUAAUGAUAAAAAUGCCGCCAUUGCCA